GGCAAGAUCAUCAACACCUGCCAAAGUUUAACAUACUCUAGCUCCAGCAGUGAAAUGGAGUGAAGAGCCCACAGUUCUAAGGCAAGUGAGGAAAGCUGGAUGCUAAUGAGACAGUAGUGUGUGAUUUCAUCCUUCCUCCAGCAGACAUCCUGGACACUUCUCAUCUUACAACUGCUUUCAUUAAUGGGAAGACCUUAUCCAGCUGCAUAAGGCAUGCUGCAGUUCCCCCGUCUGAGGACUAGUGCUCAGGAGCAGGAACAUGGUGCAGCUAAAGGUAAUGCAAAAAUGUUCCCUUUCCAUGGCUGAAAGCAGAUCUGCCACAGGUCCCAGCUGGAGCAUAAGAUACUCAUCAAAUGAAAACAAGAAAACCUAUCAGCUCUUCACUAUAGAAAUUAUCACUUCACUGAGCAAAGAGGAGAAUUGUUACAUUUAUGGCUGCCUGGCCCCCAAAAUACAAGAAGGGUUUUGAUACAGCA